rnacentral:rRNA from 1 species
CCUACGGGAGGCAGCAGUGAGGAAUUUUGCGCAAUGGGGGAAACCCUGACGCAGCAACGCCGCGUGAGUGAUGAAGGCCUUCGGGUCGUAAAGCUCUGUCAAGUGGGAAGAACCUGCUCUGUGAUAACACCACGGGGCACCGACGGUACCACUGAAGGAAGCACCGGCUAACUCCGUGCCAGCAGCCGCGGUAAUACGGGGGGUGCUAGCGUUAUUCGGAAUCAUUGGGCGUAAAGGGCGCGUAGGCGGUCUUUUAAGUCAGAUGUGAAAGCCCUCGGCUUAACCGAGGAAGUGCAUUUGAUACUAAGAGACUUGAGUAUGGGAGAGGGAAGCGGAAUCCCUGGUGUAGCGGUGAAAUGCGUAGAUAUCAGGAGGAACACCGGUGGCGAAGGCGGCUUCCUGGACCAAUACUGACGCUGAGGCGCGAAGGCGUGGGGAGCAAACAGGAUUAGAUACCCUGGUAGUCCACGCAGUAAACGGUGAACACUAGGUGUAGCGGGUAUUGACCCCUGCUGUGCCGAAGCUAACGCAUUAAGUGUUCCGCCUGGGAAGUACGGCCGCAAGGUUAAAACUCAAAGGAAUUGACGG